AGUGAACGCUGGCGGUAGGCCUAACACAUGCAAGUCGAACGGCAGCACAGUAAGAGCUUGCUCUUACGGGUGGCGAGUGGCGGACGGGUGAGGAAUACAUCGGAAUCUACUUUUUCGUGGGGGAUAACGUAGGGAAACUUACGCUAAUACCGCAUACGACCUACGGGUGAAAGCAGGGGAUCUUCGGACCUUGCGCGAUUGAAUGAGCCGAUGUCGGAUUAGCUAGUUGGCGGGGUAAAGGCCCACCAAGGCGACGAUCCGUAGCUGGUCUGAGAGGAUGAUCAGCCACACUGGAACUGAGACACGGUCCAGACUCCUACGGGAGGAAGCAGUGGGGAAUAUUGGACAAUGGGGGAAAGCCUGAUCCAGCAAUACCGCGUGGGUGAAGAAGGCCUUCGGGUUGUAAAGCCCUUUUGUUGGGAAAGAAAAGCAGCAGGUUAAUACCCCGCUGUUCUGACGGUACCCAAAGAAUAAGCACCGGCUAACUUCGUG
rnacentral:rRNA from 1 species